rnacentral:rRNA from 1 species
GCGGAAGGAUCAUUAGUGAAUUAUAGGGCGUCUACUUGUAGAGCCUGACCUCCACUUCUAACACUGUGCACUUGAUGGCGAGGUAAUGGAACUUUCGAGUGAAACUACCUUGCGGCUUCAUUUUAAACAUUAGUCAAAGUAUGUAAUGAAAUAAAAAACAAAAAAAAACUUUCAACAACGGAUCUCUUGGCUCUCGCAUCGAUGAAGAACGCAGCGAAAUGUGAUAAGUAAUGUGAAUUGCAGAAUUCAGUGAAUCAUCGAAUCUUUGAACGCACCUUGCGCUCCCUGGUAUUCCGGGGAGCAUGCCUGUUUGAGUGUCAUGAACUCUUCAACCCACCAGUUUCUAGUAGACUGCGUUGGUGUUUGGAUUUUGAGCGUUGCUAGUCUGACUAGCUCGUUCGUAAUAUAUUAGCAUCUCUAAUUCGAAUUCGGAUUGACUCAGUGUAAUAGACUAUUCGCUGAGGACACUUUUAUUAGUGGCCGUACUAGAACCAGUAGACGCUUCCAACUAUUGUAGUCAACUUUAAUUUAGACCUCAGAUCAGGCAGGAUUACCCGCUGAACUUAAGCAUAUCAAUAAGC